CCCUUAGAUCCGCCCCUGCCCACAACCAUAUAACCUCCCCCUCCCCUCCUCACGCAAGCACCAGAGGAGCCUCCUCAUCUCCUCCCCUUUCUUCACCUUCCCAUCAGCAAGGACGCCUCCUACUCUCCCUCCACAUCUCCUCCCUCCCACUGCUGCUCCUCCACCAAAAAUAAUUCAGGAUGCCACCAUGAAUCAAUUUUGCCGCUCUAGUCUUCACCUCGUAGUCCAUGGAUGCCAUUCUUUUCCAUGAUCGUCCCCAUGGAAAACUGUUGCUGCCAUGUUGACCCAUUGUCCUCGCAGCGAUGUCGUCACCACUGGCUGCUGCUGGGUUCUCACCAACAGCAAGGUCGCCCCUCUCUCUCCCAUCUUUGAUCAUGCUACCUAUGACUCUCUCAUCCAUCUCUUUGAUACCUGGUUGGCUAGAGAUUUUCUCCAAGAUCGAAUCAUCGAUGUCGUCUCUGUGAACGUGUUGGUGGUGUCGAUCCUAGCAGCCACGUUGAUGCUACCAUUGACCCUUGCCCAACAGUAAGGUUGUCCCUCUAAUUUUCCUCUCUAAUCCUGUUGUUUGUGCCUCUCUCAUAUGUCUCUUUGAUAUCUAAUGAGGCAUGGAUGAUCCCCAAAGUGGAUUUGGCAUUGCUCUGUUGAUCACUGACUACAUCUCUUUGAUGCCGGCUGCUGCCAACCACAUCACCAGUUGUUGGAAUUCCAUGAUGUUCUCUUGUGAUGCUUGUACCGAUUGUUUGCUGACGUUAGAAGUGGAGCUACAUGAGGAGCAUAUCUUUGAGAAGUGGAACCAUCGACAAGUGUUU